rnacentral:rRNA from 1 species
UGGGGAAUUUUGGACAAUGGGCGAAAGCCUGAUCCAGCAAUGCCGCGUGAGUGAAGAAGGCCUUCGGGUUGUAAAGCUCUUUUGUCAGGGAAGAAACGGUUUGGGCUAAUACCCUGAGCUAAUGACGGUACCUGAAGACUAAGCACCGGCUAACUACGUGCCAGCAGCCGCGGUAAUACGUAGGGUGCAAGCGUUAAUCGGAAUUACUGGGCGUAAAGCGUGCGCAGGCGGUUUUGUAAGUCUGACGUGAAAUCCCCGGGCUCAACCUGGGAAUUGGGUUGGAGACUGCAAGGCUAGAAGCUGGCAGGGGGGGGUAGAAUUCCACGUGUAGCAGUGAAAUGCGUAGAGAUGUGGAGGAACACCGAUGGCGAAGGCAGCCCCCUGGGUCAAGAUUGACGCUCAUGCACGAAAGCGUGGGGACCAAACAGG